GACGAACGCUGGCGGCGUGCCUAAUACAUGCAAGUCGAGCGAGCGGAACUAACAGAUUUACUUCGGUAAUGACGUUAGGAAAGCGAGCGGCGGAUGGGUGAGUAACACGUGGGGAACCUGCCCCAUAGUCUGGGAUACCACUUGGGAACAGGUGCUAAUACCGGAUAAGAAAGCAGAUCGCAUGAUCAGCUUUUAAAAGG
rnacentral:rRNA from 1 species